AACUUAAAUAUUUCAAAAGCAAAACAGUGUACUUGCUGGCAAAUUGGAUGUAGAAGGUAAGAGGGACAGAGGUGUUGUGGGUGACUCCAGAUGAAUUCUGUUAGCUGGUUAGAUGAUGGAAACCCUCUUGAGCUUGGAGAACCAAGUCAGGAUCAGUUCAGGGGCAAGGCUGUGACAUUGGUUGCCUUGAGGUAUCCAAGGGAGUCUUCAAAUUCUGAAACGCUGCUGGGAGCAUAACUGAGGCAAGGACUGGAAACUGCUGGAUUUAGCAACUUGGAGAUCAUUGGUAGCCUUGGUUUUUUUUUGGUGGAGCAAAGAGUCAGAUUGGGGUGGUCUGAGGACUGAGUGAGAGGUGAGCAGAUGUUGUCAGUGUGGCUGGACACCAUUUUUGAGACACUUGGCUGCAACAGGGAGGAGAGAGGCUGGGUGCUAGUUGACUGAUGAGGAUGUGGUGAGAGAGGUUGUUUUUUUCUUUAAUGGGAGUACAUUCUUCAUGAAAAUUCAAUGGAAAUAUAGAGCUUGCAUGUUCAAAAGAGAAAAAGGAUCACUGAAAGUAAAGAUUCCUGAGAAGGAGGGGAUGAUGGCAUCCAAAAAUAGGUAAGAGAACUUGCCUCAGAUUGCUUUGAUUGAACUUCUUUAUUAUAGGAGAGGGAAAGGAAGAGAGAAUGCACGUGGAUGUGGGUGGAUUGUAGCUCUGAAUGUGUGACUCUGAAGGACUUUCCAGAUGGUGAUUCCUAUUGUCUAUAUGAAACAUGAGACAUCAUCUAGACAUCACCUGCUGAGACUGAGGGGUGAAUAUGAGUGGAUGUGAGCAUGCAUGUGCAUGCACAAGUGUGUAUGUGUGUGUCUGAGCUCCCAUGCUCAUCCAGAGUUUUAAAAGAAGCCUAGAAGAUUUGACAUAAUAUAGUAUUAAGUAGAAAGUUGAAAUUGAUAGGACCAGGAGUCAGUUCCAAUCCAGAGCCAGGCUUAUGGGCAGGGUAUCAGCAUUUAUCGAAGAGAACAGAGGAGGCUGGGGCUCCUUGAGCGUGGUUUCCAUCUUUUCUCUUGCACCCCACCUGCUCCUUAGGGACAGCAGAUGAGGAGAGAAAAACCUAAGGAUAUACUUAAAAUGUUACUGUGAUAUUUAUAGUGUUGUGAUGAAAAUAGAAAAUCUGUGGAUGUGGCUUAAGUGUGGGGAAAAGAAAUUGAUCACUCAGGGAUCCUGUGCUUCUCUGAAAAGCUGAUCUGUGAAGAAUUCCUUGUUAAGAUGUUAACACAUGGAUAAGUGAUGUAAAUAUUUCAAGACCACAAGUUGAAGGGUUAGGACUUGAAUUAAGAAGGCAAGUUCAUACCUGUAUAUAACAGUGGGAUGUUUUUAAUAAUAUGUGCCAUCUGUUGGAGAGGUAUUACAUACUUAUUGCCAAGAAGAAUCUAACUCCCCGGUCCUGAUGCUUCCAUGAAGAAAUGUUAGCUCUACUCCUUAGGAGGAAACAGCACUGGAGAGACACUGUUGAUUCCAAGCCCCUCCUGCACAGCCCCAAACCCUUGGAGGUGGUUAUUGAAUGGAGCAAGACCUAUGCUUUGACAGUGCAGAUCACAAUCACACUCAUUCAGAAAGAUAUUAAGUAACUUGCUCAAGAAUACGUAGCUUCUGAAAGGGCUACGUUCUCCUGCUGGCAGAACUGGAAAUCCAAGGCCUGUGAGUGCUGUGCUUUCCAGUGAGAUGUCUCCUUAGCCAAGAACAAGGAUAAUGGGGCUUGAGAGUAGAGGAACAACAACAACAAAAAGAAAAUAUGAAUCACCAUGAUGGGACUUCCUCAAAGAGGCACAAGACUCAAGACCAUAUCCUGGGUGGUGAAAAGGUAUGAACUCUGUGGUCAGAAAACUGGGUUCAAAUGUUGCUUCUGGCACUUAGAACUGUGCAAU